UUUGAGUGCGUUCCACUUAAAGUCUACGACGACCACGACUACAAUCGCAGUAUUUGCCGUUCCACUAGCUUAUGGGCGCUGCGGAUGAAAUCUUUAGUGGAACGGAUUUUAUGGGUGAACAGUCUCUAUCACAUGGAUGGUAACAUUAAGGUAAUCGUACUGCGCUGUAUAAAAUAUGAAUCUGAAGACUCAUCGAGUUCUGAUGAUGAAUGGGAAUUAGUGUUACGUAAAAGGAAAAAGCGUACAUUUCGUCUGCGAAUUCCGAAUUAUGUCGAUGUUGUGGUCCGCUACAUGGAUUACGAUUUCAAAAGUCAUUUUAGAAUGUCGAAGGUGAAUUUGAAUUUCUUUUAUACAUGCUCAGGCCAUAUUUAAGACAAAUAAAGAGAUCUCUUAUGAUACCAUCACAUCAUCAAUUAAUUGCUAUUUGGAAAAUAGCAACGAUGGACUCCUCCAGAUCUGUUUGAGAUUCAAUGUUGGAAGAGACACUGCUCUUCGAGCUGUGCAAAGGGUCACUCAUGCAUUUUUCUUCGAUAUAGUACUUCAUUCUGAAGUUCAAAACAUUGAAGAAUUAAUUAACGAAGUAUUUCAACGAUCACUAUUGUGAAAUUGUAGUCUUCCAUGUGAAAAUCGAGGACCAUCAAUAAUCUCGUGCGGAAAUUGAAAAAUUAAUUUUUUUAAAGAUUUAUAUCCAGAUACAGCAAGUAUCUAAAUGGAGUAAUCUACAAGACACUUAUGUCCAAAAAUUAAAUGAUCAAAAUAAAUGUGUUCCAAGUGCUGCUAAAGCCAAACCUAAGCCAGUAUCAUGACCAUAUUUUGAAUUAAUGCUUUAGUGGAAAAUAAUAAACAAGGUAGUUCAACAGAAAAAACAUCUGUUAAAAAAAAAUAAGAAUAAAGAGGACAAACUGUAGAAUAUAUAAGAUGAGAUAUUGAUAGAAGGUAUAUGAACCAAACCAUGUUUAUGAAAUCAUACAAUCCUUACUAAAGAAAGAGGUCCCUUAUCUGUGAAAGAAGUGUAUUGGAAAUAUACAAGAAAUUGGAAGAAAAUAUUAAAAAGCGCUGGAGAAAUCUCCGUGAUUGUUACAUGAAAGGGAGAAAGAAAAUGACACAUCAAGUGGUUUCAGCAGCAUCAACUUCAGAUAAAAAAAAGAUGAUUUUCGCUUUUUUGAUCAAAUGCAACUUUUAAAUGAUUCCAUAAUUUCAGGAGAUAAUGUUUCAAAAGAAUCUGAACUGAUGAAUGAUAACCUAGACACCGACGGCUACUCCAUAAUGCAAGAACCAAGAGAACAUAAUGAGAGCAGUUUUGUAGAUAGCCAAGUUCGAAGAGGACAAUACAAAAAAAUCUACUUUGAAUCUACUUUUGGAAUAGGAAGAAGUGUCUCUCAUACAAGUAGUAUCUCUUCACAUGAAAAUUGGCGGAAAAACACAAUCAGGUGAUGCAAAAUUUAGAAGAGAUUUGAUGAAAAUUUUAAGUAAUACCAUCACCUGCUGAUGAUAUUGAAGUUUUUUAAUCCAGAUGAUGUUUUAAGAAGGUUACCCUACAAGGAUUAUAAAUUACAAAUGAAAAUCCUAAAUGAUGUGUUAGAAGCUGAAGAAAAAGCAAGUCUCUUAAAUAAUUAAUAUCCAAUUCCACCAAUUAAAUUACCAAUUAACUUUCUCGGUUUAACUUGUUCUUCAUCUUUUUCUAAUUCAUAAGGGCAUUCUACAAUGCGUUGCAAACACUCAUUGUCAGUUGAAAUGUUUGUCGUGACAAUUAAUAAAGCCAAUGUUCAUGAUGCUAGAAAUCGGUCCGAGUUCUCGGAUCGAGAAAUGUGUAGUCAAUCAAUUUUUUGAUUUUCUGUAAAAACUGGAAGCUGAUUGAUACUGAACUAUACAUUUCUCCGAGAACUCGCUAUGACGCUCAUUUUCAGUGUCAAAAUAGGUCACGUGAUUACGACAUAUCGAGCGACAAUUUUGAUCACGUGAUCCGUUUUGACAUUGAAAAUGAAUGUCGUAUCGAUACAUUUCCGUUUUAUCGAAAAGUAAUAAACAAGGGAUGUUCUUGAAAGAAUAAAAGACGAUGUAUUCAUACGAAGAGAACUACAAAAGAAACAAGAAUAAAAGCUAAACCUAAAUAUCUUGGAAGAAAUAAAAAAAGACAUGAGAAAAAUGACACUUGAUGAGCUACCAGUACAGUAUGGAAUAAAGAAAUUAUCAAAUGUUGAGGAAUAUUGCAAAGCACAAGGUUGACCAUUAAUUUUGGUGAAAAUCACUUUAUAUGAAAUUAUUAUAAAGUAUAUCACGGAAAUAACAAACGUAUAUUUAGAAAUGUAGUUAUAUGCCAGAAUAUACCAAAAGUAUGUGCUUUAUUGAAUAAUUACAAAAGGAAGGAAUAAAAAACGGAAAGGCGACUUCCAAAUGUGAAGUCUUAAAGGAUGUGGAUUAGCAAGAAAAUAUCAAACUAAUUACAUUUUUGAGACACUGGCUCAGAGAAUAUGGCAGGUAUGACACAAACAUAGUGAAUAUGGAACAAAGACUUUUUUUUAUACUUGCCAAAAUGGCCUGAAGUCAAUUUUGUGUUACUUGUUUAUAUUUAAAUUUUAUAAUAAUCUCUCUUUUUUGGAGUGAAAUUUCACUCUAAGAGAGUAAAAAUACAGCGAAAUUAUUAGCAAAAUAGAAAAAAA